AACUAACUGGCUUCCAUGGCCAACAGCCUACAGAAGGGCAGUGGUGGACCAGUGCACCUUUCUGUGGGCUCCCUGCACCUCAGUAUUGCCGAGAACAUACUCCAGGGCAUCUUUGAACCCUUUGGCAAAGUGGGUAGAAAAUGAAGGAAACCCCUGAUGGGAAUUGGAAAAUAUAGGGAGGAUUGAUAAUAUUAUCCUGAUGAAGGACUCGGGUACAGGCCACUCUAAAGGUUAUGGUUUCAUUACGACCAGAAUCUCUUUACGCCAUGCUGCUGUGGUGCUGCUGAUGAAGAGGACUAGAGAGCAGAGGCCCUCUGGCCAUCAGGUCACUGAGUUAGCAGCUCUGAUGUGGGGUGGGGUUGGGGGUGCAGCCUUGCUCUCAGCACCAGACGGUGUUCCCUCCGAAGGCUAGGCUCUGCAGUUCCAGACUCCCAGUUCUUAACUGUGAAAACUGAAGCUUACUAAUCCUGAGGGCUGAAGUAAAAGCCCAGGAGCCUUGGCUCUCAGGCUGUCUUUCUUCUGUUUUACAUGUUCGUUGGUGAAGCAGCCUGUCAGGCUAGGCAUCCUAUGAUAAGAGAUUUUUUGCAUUGUUAGGUCCUUGGUGGAGUUGGAAGAUAAAGUGAUUGCCAUUGACUCAGUUGGAAAACGUCCUUUUCAAACAACCAUUUUGCGGGGCUGGGGCUCUUAGGCCACAUUCCCUGGGAGGGAAAAGUUUGUGCUGUCAUGAACACGAACUUUUCCUGGGGUAAUAGGACUGGAAGUGUUAGUGAGACUUUGAAAUGUAUGUCUGUAGCCAGGAGGUGACUGAUAUGGCCUUGUACCUGGCAGGCCCUGAACAGGUCAAUGGCUUUGAACUUGCUGGUUGACUUGGGAGAGCUGGCCAUGUGACGGAGAGCUGGCCAUGUGACUAAGUGACUGGAUGAUGGCACAAACAUCACUUUUCCUGAUGGGGACCAGGAGCUGGAUCUGGGUUCAGCCAGUGGACGUUUGCAUCUCAUGGCCAAUUUGUCAGAAGGCUCUGGAAUCCAGCUACCAACCACAGCAGCUGCUGCUGCAGCCCAAGCUGCUGCUUUACAACUGAAUGAGGCAGUUCCCCUGGGGGCCCUGAACCCAGUGGCUUUGACUGGUGGACUUGGACUUGGGAAAGGGAGAGAAUGGUUGGGGUCUGGAAAGAAGGGAUGCUGUGUGCUCACCAAUUCACUUUGCCUCUCUGUCCCAGCUCUGAGUCUGGCCCUGAACCUUGCCUCCCAGGCGGUCGCAUCUCAGUGCUUCCAGCUUUCCAGCCUCUUUACCCCCCAAACCAUGUAAAUCAGUGGCACCAUACACUGCUUCCCUGUGCCUCCGGGUACUGCCCUUCUCUUUUCCCCAUCUGCCCUCCCACAGCCCCUUCUCUCCAUUUUGUGGACCAAGCCAUCCUGAGGGCAUGGACAUUGAUUGACUCUGGGGGAAAUCGGGGCCACCUUAGACACCAAGAAGAGCUCCUGCCUAUGGCCCCAUUGGGAAUGGAUCCUGCUGAGCAAAGCAACUAACACCUGCACUGAACACCUGUUUCUCCAUGUAUGUCAUCUGCUGGGGUGACCUUCCUUGGCCCUGCCAACCACCUCAGGGAUCCCUUGAUUCCUCCCCCAUUGGGAAGGCCGUAGGGCGUUAACUGAAGGCACUAACUGCUCUCCUUUUCCUAUACCUUUACAAUCUGUUGAGGAAAACCCUUAAGACCUCUAGUCCAAGAGGAGUUUGGGAUUUGGGGGGUGAACCUUGAAGGUGCUGGCUUGCUGCUGCCAGGGCACCGGAAGAUAGCAUGGACUUGUGUGUUGUGAAGCCUGUCUUAGACCUAAGCCUACCUUAGAACUACUGCUGUGGGCUCAGCAUCUUUUUGGGAAUGAUUUAUCCUGCCAGGCAUUUUGGAUGUCAUAGGGGGAUUAAGGAGUUUUGUGAAAGGUGGAGUACCUUUCCAUUAUCUGCCCUCUUUUUUGUAUAGUUGUCCUUCCUCCCAGGUCCGUCCUUUGGCCCAGUGUAGGAGGGUGGAGGAGAGGCUGCUACUCUGCUACUUCCCAUGUGCCUCUACCACGGGCUCAGCCCCAGCUGUUAAAGCUGCUCCUGUCCCCUACCUGGGCACGUGUGAGCCCUUCUCACUGGAUUUUAUACCCUGUGUCUGUGUAUGUAAAUGUGUAUGUGUUACACACAUACACACAUAGGCAUUAUGUAUUUGUGUAUAUAUACGUACAUAUAUGUAUGUACGUAUAUAUACUGUACGAAAGGCAAGCCCCACUUUGUGGCUGCUGCCCACAUGUGUGUCAGUUACUUGCUGUGUCUGUCACCUUCUCAUGAGCCAAAACCAUGAAUAGUUCUAGGGAUAUAAAACAUUUGUAAUGCCAUUGCAUUUUAUUUCAAUUCUGUUUCAUUUAGCCUUCUUUAGAAAGAAAAAUGGACAGACCUCUCAGCUGGGUGGAGCUCCCAUCUGGGUCUGCAUUCCAUGGUCUCGUCCUCCGUCUGUCUUCAUAACCUCCAAACCUUUGUGCCCACUGGACAAGCCUCCAGGCUCAUUGUGCCUAAGGACAGCUCUUGUCUUUCCACCAGAUGGCAGUGUGACAGUAGCACAUUCUGCACCUUCCUCCAGGGGUGUUUGAGUAUCUUGAGCUUAAGUACCAGUGAAGCCCCUAAACUCACCAUUCACCACUGGCCUCCAUACCCACCAUUGGCCCUCUGUAUAGUAGAAAUCCCAAUCCAAUAUCCAAAGGGGUCUGGGCACCACAUGGCAGGACUGCCCAGGCCUUAAGUCUGCUAUUGUCUCAGGCAGUAUCUCCCAACCCUUGCGUUCCCUAUAGCUCUGCCUGGGCCAACACAGGUCUGAAUUCUCAGGGAGCUCAGCCUUUCAGGAAUGGCCCUGCGGAAGCGGAUGCACACCUUCCUUUUCCUGCCUUGUAGGACUUAAAGCAAGAGGCUGGCCAGAGCCUGGCUCACCAGCUAGGGACCAACCAAGAGGAGGUCUGAGGUUCAAGGGCAAGGCUCUCUGGGGCUCCUCCAUUCUUUCCUGGUGUCUAUGGCAACCGAAUGUUAAGAAUUUAUUGUCAUGCUAAAAAUACGGAUAAUUGCUGCUAGGUUUUAAUUUGUCAGCUCUCAGACUUCAAAGCAGAGUGAUGUUUUUUGGUAAUGUUAGCUUACAGGGUGGCUUUUAACACUGAAGUAUUAAGUAGUUGCAGCCUGCUUGUGGCAUAUAAGGCCUUAGGGACCCAGGGCUAGCUCUUGUCUCCCUGGCUGCUGAAGUCUCAAUUGCUGUUCACCCCCACCCUUUCCCUAUCCAGUUUGCUCUCUGGCCCUGGGGGAAGGGAUGGAGCGGCAUUAUUUUAAGGUAGUUGCAGCUGGCUAUGGCCCAGUUUCUCUAUGGUUAUUGAUUUGGCUGCUAAUGGAUCCUGCGAAGCAAAGUUCGGAUGUGUGUGUGAGGCAGUGGGAGGCUCUGGACCAGGCCUUCUCUUGGCAGUCUUGAAUUCCUCCAACUAUAAAUACCCAUAGGCCUUGCCUACCUGCCGCAGCUGGGUCCCCCUCUCUGCUUGGUUUCCUUAUGUUCCCAUCCCUACCUACUUUGGUUUUCCUGCACUUUGGUUCCUCCUACCUCAGUUCUUGCAUUGUUCUUAGUUUCUUGUACAGCUUCUCUAGGGAAGAGACUGGUGGAAAUGAGGAGACAUCUAAAGCAGCAACUGUAGUCUUAACCCAUGUAAGGUGACAGCAUCUACUAAGUGACAGCUGGUGUCAUUGCAUGUGACUCAGUAACUUUUUGUUACUCAUCUCUCUUUUGGGGGUGGUUGGAGUGGAGAGAAGGGGGGCAAUAAACAGGCUGUGGGCUCAGGCUAAGGUAGAAGAAACCUCCCUCAACUUCUGCCUGAGCCUGGUGGUAGAAGUAAGUGACCCAGAUCCUUUCCCAGCAUGGUUAGAAUUUCCCCACCAGUCCUCAGUUCUAAAUGGUAUUUUCACCUGACUUUGGCUUAUAAUGUGUGCUUCUGUCAUCCCUAAGGCAGUGGCAUUUCCUCCCUGUUCUUUAAACUGCUGUUCUUGAGUUUGGGAUUUGUUCAGCUUGCUUUCUUCUUAGGUGCCAACAACCCCCAGAUGUGAGCUACCAGUGGAAGCAGGGGUUUGACCUAUCUAUGCACCUUUGUUGGCACUUAGGAUGGAGGAAAAGGAGUUAAAAACUUGGAGUGAAAUCUUGUCACAGCCCCUCCUUUCUCUAAGGGAAGGGUCUGGUGAGAACUGGGAAGCAAUUCUUGGGCAGUAAGAAGCAGCUAUCCUGCCUCCAACCAGUGAGGUGGAAGGUGGUGGAGUAAUGAUAAUUGUUGCAUUUCCACAGGAUUUGGUGUGGGGUAGGCCCUGCUUUAAUCACUGCAUUAUGUCUUGAAUUAUGUAUUCCUCACAAGGAUCCUCCAGGGUAGAUGCUUUUGUAUACUUUGUAAAUGAGGAAACUGAUAGCCAAAGAGGUUAAAAUAAGUUGCCCCACAAUUAUAAUCAGCAGGUUUGAGAUUCCAAUCCAGGCAGUCUGGCUUUAUAUGCCUUGAUCUUAAUCUUAACCCACCUUUCAGCACCAAGAAAAGCUAAGGCCUUAGAGUCACGGGGAAGUAUAACUUUCUCUCUAUACCCAGAAUUUUCAGUAUAUCCUGAAUUUUUCCACUUCCUUGUCUUCUCAUCUUGUUCUCUCUUCCCACGGGUCCUGGUCAAAAUCCUGUCCUUUAAGACUCUGAAGCUUUCCUCGUUGGAGUUGAUUUCCCUUUUCAGUAUUCUUUGUCCUAUUAGAGGUCUUAUUCUGUGUUUAUUUACAGUUCUUUUUAAAUUCUUCUAGGUGGUUAUAGUCUGAUGAGGCCAGCCUUUUUCAUUACUGCUUGCUUUGCACGUAUUACAUGUCUGUUGAGUUAAUUCCUUCUCAGCUUAGAGCCAGGCUUUCUGAAGGCCAUCCAUUCUAGCCUGCUUUCUCUAGCAGCCUCAGCCAUUCCUUCCUCACCAAUCCGAAAGAGGAGGUAGCUUCACUCUUUCUGGUGUUACCAUGGUAGUCCUUGAUGCUCUGUUUAAAGUGCUGCUUACCAGAGACAUGUUCCUAUGGCAACCAGGUGAAGUCAGUUGUCAUGAGCUGGAUGCAGGAAAGGAAUUUGGGUAUGAGAAACCGUGCAUCUGAAUCUUCUGGCUUCAAGUAUCCCUUCUCCUUUGUGACUUGUGCACUUCAUAUCCAGAACUCAUUUGCUCUCAGUGUGCUCUUGGUUGAGAGAGCUCUGUGAGAGAUGAAGCAGACCAACCAACUUAACUCAUGUGAAAGUGGAGGCAAGGAAGGACCUGAAUAAAGAUCACUUUUAAAAGUUGGAUGAGUUCUCUUAGCUGUCCCAGGUGAUCUGCUCUUAAGAGCCCAUAAGAGUUGGCUGCAAUUACAAGAGAGCCAUUAAGCAGUUAUUUUUGAGGGCAAUGGGAAGAUGGGUGAGGUACCUGAAGACUGGAAAGGGGCCAGUCAGUGCUGGAUUGCAGAAAGCGAAGACAAUGACCUUGGAAAUAAGAGAUUUGUCAAACUCUUGCCAGUGUUCUGCAAAGGAAGAGAGCUUCAGUCAGCUUUCAAGAAUCAUGAAGCUGACUUGUUCAGAAUGAAUGGUACUGAGAAUUAGCCUCCUCCUAGGCUUUCUUGAACUUCUGGGCCUAGGGGGACCUCCAUGCUGUAGCAGAAUAGUCAGGCUCUGGAGCAACACUGCACGGUUCAGAUCUUCUGUUACAAACUAGCUGAGUAAGGUUGGCUGGUACUUUACUUCUCUAAUGCAGACUCCUCAUCUAUAAGAAGAAAAUAAUAGUACCUAUCUCGGGGAUGUUGUGAGGAUUAAAUGAGAUGUGUAGAGGGCUUAGAACUUGUUAACUUGUCAUUCAUUACUAGUGCUGUCGUUAUUCCCAUCUCUGGAUGCCAACACACUUGCCUUUCUACCUGACCCCAUUCUCCUCACCAGCUUUAGAGAAUAUUCAAGAUUUAAACGGGGGAGGAGCGAGGGCCUGGCAAUGGUGAAAAUAAGCCUUAAGUGUUCCUGGGCAAAAGUCCCAGGCUUAUGAGGUCCUGGGUCACAUACAGCCAGCCUUGCUUUCAGGAAAACACAUCCCACUGGCUCCAGCUCUUUCUGGGUCUGACACUCUGUAUAAUCACAUUACAAUUAGUUGGCUUUGAAAAGUCAAGGUGAGCCCCCCAGAUACCUUCAGGGUAACUAGAGCCCUUUGCUUUGGCUAGUGAAAAAUCCCAGAGCAUUCCGUUAGAGCUCUUUGCUUAGUGCCCCUCCUAAUCCCCCUGAGCAUUCCUGUGGUACCUGCCAUUGUUGGGCUCCAGGGCCUAGCCCUACUCUGGCAAUUUCCUUUCAGAAUAAGUAAAUCAGCACAGGUCUUUUCCCUACAGACAAGUUAUAAUUUGAACAAAAAACAGAAAACUGCAGUAUAAUGUCACCACUUAGGCUUUAGUUGCCAAAUAUUCUUCCCAACCUUUCCCAAAACAACUAAUCCAAUAAUGGGUUACCUGUGAAUAGUAUGGGAGGCAUGUUGGACCUUUGGAAUCACAACUGUGAUUUGUACAUUCAGAGUGGUGCUGUGCUUUGAGAAGUUAGCAGACUGCCUGGGUGCCUGAACAAGGGACCAAGACACAGGUUGCAAAAGACAUUAUUUCCACUGGUCAUUUGUUUGUAUAAUGCUUGACAAAUCAUAAAGACGUUCGCAUUUUUACUUAGUCCUCAUGACUGUCCUCAAGAAAGGUGGUAUUAUCUUCAUUUUAUAGUUGGGAGAGCUGAUGUUCAGAAAGGCAGAGAGGUUGAGGAACUUUCUGAAUAGACCUCCAUUCAGGAAACAGUGGGCCUGUGUGCUAACUAAAAUGCUUGCAAGGCCCCACUGAAUUUGUAUUCACAUCUCAAGUUUACAAAGCUGCCAUGCUAUGGAGGCAUGACCUCAAGAUUCAAAUAGAUGGAAAGGGACCUUGAGCAUAUAUCCAUCAAAGAGCACCAAGAUGGUAAAGGACUAAACCAGGACACUCCUGCCUGAUUUUGUUGUCCCUUGACAACUUGGCUGCACCAUCCACCCACAUUUUGCUGCUUUUCAUACUGAAGGGACCUUACCUCCUAUGGUGGGCUGCCCUCCCAUUUCUCCUAUGCAUUUGCUCAUGUAGUUUCAGCACAAGGAGCUUUUUUCUUCUUCCACCUAUCUGCAGCCCUCAUAUAUUCUUGAGGGUGCAGUUCCUAAAGGAUGCCUUCCAAAUUUUCUGUUUCUUCAGAAUCUGUAGAGCCCAUAAUGCAGCUCCCAGUUAGCUGGACUGUGUGAUUCGCUACGGUUUUGGCCUUGACAGUGCUCUCUGGUACCAACUGGAGCUGUCUCCAGCUCAACUCUUAAGUUCCUUGAGGGCAGGGAUAAUGUCUGUCUGUGUUUCUCUUCCCCACAUGGGCCAAGACAGUGAUUGGCAUAGGGCAGUAUUUGAGGGAAACAACAGCCAUUUGUGGAUGAAAAAUAAAAAUGCCCAGGAAAAUUUUACUUAAGCCUUACGUGGUUUGGAACUAUGUUAGAUUAAUAAAAAGAUGAAUGUAUGGGAGGACUUUCUGAGCAUUUUGAGGGUUUAACCCAGAAGUUUAGUGACGUGCCCUUCCAUAACUCUGGCAGCCUUUUAGAAGAGAAGAGCCCCGGUACAGCCUCUAGAGAAGGUUAGAUGCAUCUGGGCAUAAAGACCCAACUGUAAGCAGAGGCUCAGAACAGAGGUCAAGACACAGGACUGGCCUCACCUCCGGCCCCUCAGGGGAGAGCACAUGCUCUCAGCCAGUGAGGAGGUCUUGUGGGCCAGAGGGAGUAGGGGUAGUAGGGGCGGGGCUGGUAAGGGAGCACAGACAGAUUCCAAAACAAAAUUGUAGCGGUUAAGAGGAGCACAUGGACAGAGGAGAUCUUAACCCAGCCCUGGCAGCUUGGGGCCCUUUGCCACCAGCCCAGAUCCAUCAGCCUGGCCCAGCUUUGCCUUGAUUGAGGGAAGGGGCAGAAUGGCCGGGUUCUCAAAAAAAAAAAAAAAAGAAUGGCUGGGUUCUCAAAGAAGACCCUUCCCCUCUCCAGUCCGGCGGGGAGCAUGCCUUCAGCUUCAGUCUGUUCUGAGCUCUUCCCUGUAGGCGUCUGGAGGGAACACACAGAUGGGUUGGGCUGAUGGGUCUGGCUGAUUUGGGAGAGGGAGGCUCAUGGUGUGUGGCUCCCCUCACGGGGGAGGUCCUACCAUCCUCCUCUUCAGUAUGCGUAUGCAUAUUUUAAGCUUCUGCCACAUGAAAAGGCACUGGGCCUUCUUGUUCCUCAUCCUCCUCUCUUGCCACAUUUGACGGUGGUGGUCUUCCUCCACAAUAAACCUCUUCUCUUGGCAGUAGCCACUAUAGGCUCAUUCCCAGUUCUUCCACUGCCUUUGUGGUGGCUGCAUCUCCACCUUCUUCACCUGCCUAUCCCCAGAACUCUCAUUUUGGUCCCUCUUCUUUCUCUGAAAUGCCAACGCUUUAAGUUACUUAGUUUUUGAACAGGUAAAAUAUGCCAUACUUUAAAAGGUACAAAAAUGGCAUACAAUGAAAAGUAAACCUACACAUACCCUCCACCCACCCAGUUCCCCUUCCUAGCAGCAAUCAGUUCUAUCCUGGUUGGUAAUUUGUUGGGUCACAGACCUCUUUGGAAAUCUGAUGAGAUGUGUGAACCCUACUCUCAGACAAAUGCAGAAACACAUCUGGUUGCACUUCAUUUCACAAGAAUCAAAGAUCUCUGAAACCCAUGUGUGGUUUGUGGCAAGCAUCCCAACCUAUAUUGUGCCUUUUCCCUUAGUAGUUCCCUUAGUAUAAUUUGUGGGUCCCUGUAUGAAAUGAAAAUGCAGGGCUCCUUGUUUGAAAAGUGUCAGGACAUCAGCAGCAUGUUAAAUAGCAUACACUGCGUCUCAUCCUCUGGCCCUUCUACUACCAUCUGUGUGAUCAUUAUUUUCUAUCUGUGUCUCUUGCCCUAACUUGUUCUAAAUUCCAAACCCAGCUGUUCAGGGAGCUACUGUAAAUCUCCAUAGGAUGUUUUAGCUGCUCAAAUUCAGAGUCUCUAAAAUGGAGCAAUUUACCCCCUGGGUCCUCUGCAUUCUAAGUCCUAGUUCUUUGCUAUCAUCCUACCACUUGCAACUUCUCCUUCUCUUUAUAUGCAGCCCCUAGUUGCCACUGGUUCUGACUGUCAAGCCCAUGCUGUCUCUCCUCUCCCACUGUGGUCUCCCUCAGGAUGGUCCUUCAUUACCCUCCAUAUUCAUUAUUGUGACUGUCCCUAAAUUGGGCUCCUCAGUCCUUCUCUGGGUUGCUUCAAUCCAUGUGCACUGCUCCCAGCCUCCUCUUCCCAAAGAACCAUCCUGAUCAUGUCACUUCCACACUCAAAGACCUUCAAUGACUCUCACUGCCUACAGUUGGGCACAAACUCCUUUGCCUGGCAUUUAAGGUCCUUUACAGUUUGGUUCCAAACCUCCUUUUCCAUGCUUCUCUCCUACCCCUCCUCUCCUGUCCCUGAGGUUUCAACCCAACUGUAGAACCAUCUGGUACCUCAAUGGGCCCAGGGUGUUUUCCUGCAUUUUACAGUUUGAACUGCCUCUGUUCAUGGCCCCCAGAGUUUAGAGCUGGCUUAUUCCAACAUAGCCAUGUAAUUUUUCUAACCCACUCACUACAGCCACUGCCCAUGGUCCUGCCAUCGUAUCCCUUGCAUUCUGUCCUCUUCUUCUUCUCUCAGGCCUUACUAGAAGGGAAACCUCACAUGCAAAGCUGGAUAAAAUCACCAUUAAGUAUCAAGCAGACAUGAGUGAAAUCCCAGCCCUGUUCCUUAUUGACCUCAGGAAAGUUUACUUAAAUGCUCU